UACGUAGGGUGCAAGCGUUGUCCGGAAUUAUUGGGCGUAAAGCGCGCGUAGGCGGUUACUUAUGUCGGAUGUGAAAGCCCUCGGCUUAACUGAGGAAGUGCAUUCGAAACUGGGUAGCUAGAGUACUAAAGAGGGUCGCGGAAUUCCCGGUGUAGAGGUGAAAUUCGUAGAUAUCGGGAGGAACACCGGUGGCGAAGGCGGCGACCUGGGUAGAUACUGACGCUGAGGCGCGAAAGCGUGGGGAGCAAACAGG
rnacentral:rRNA from 1 species